rnacentral:rRNA from 1 species
UACAGAGGGUGCAAGCGUUGUUCGGAAUUAUUGGGCGUAAAGCGCGUGUAGGCGGCAGUGCAAGUCGGGUGUGAAAGCCCUCAGCUCAACUGAGGAAGUGCGCCCGAAACUGCAUUGCUUGAGUACCGGAGAGGAUGGCGGAAUUCCCGAAGUAGAGGUGAAAUUCGUAGAUAUCGGGAGGAACACCGGUGGCGAAGGCGGCCAUCUGGACGGAUACUGGCGCUGAGACGCGAAAGCGUGGGUAGCAAACAGG